ACUCUAUUGGUAACAAAGGAACUUGUGACCAUAGUUGCUUUUGGGAAACGCACCCCAGGUUAGGUUCACAGUGUAAGUUACCCCUGCUGGAAAAACAGCUAAAACCAGCCUAAGCUGGAUGGUUGGUUUUAGUUGGUCGUCCAGCCUGGUCAUAGCUGGUCAGCAGGCUGGUUUUAGAGGGGUUUUGGCCAUUUGUAGGCUGGUCAGGCUGGUCUUUGCUGGUUAGGCUGGGAGACCAGCUGGCCAACCAACUAAAAUCAGUUUAGCCAGGCUGGGAGAUCAGCUAAAACCAGCUGCUUCCAGCAUAAACCAGCUAAGACCAGUCAUUAAGCUUAGGCUGGUUUUAGCGUUUUUUUGUGUGUUUUGUUUUCAGCUGGGACCACGGUAACUCACUCUGCUUUCCCGGGUUUGACAAACCUCUCGUUCUGAAACAGAAAACCCAGAGUUUCCCUCGUUUCAGGGUUCACACACUCAGAGUUUUAACUGAACCUCCUUUCUGAAACGGGCCUCUGCUUUUGCCUUUUGGUUGUUCACAUCAACAUUUAACAACUGUUGUUUAAUUAAACAGAAUUUUUUUUUUUUUUGCCAAAUUUCACUGUAAUUUCCUUGUCUUUGUAUUAAAAAAAUACUCAAUUUACACCUUAGUUUUAUGAACAGUAUAUAUGCCUAAAUUUGGCAAAAAGUUCAUUGUUUGACAUUAGUUUAAUACACGUUAUGUAUAUUGAAAUAGUAAUUUUCGAUCUGUAACCUGUCACUUAUUAAUUCAUUUAUUUGGGAAUUGCAGGAAUUAAUCUGUUCAUUCAGAAACCGUGAUUAAACAGCAGAAAGAGACUCGAGCUGUGAUUGUGAGAUAUAUAUAAUGUUUGAGCGUUCGUCACUAGCCACGCCCCCAGAGGCCGGCCUUUAUAUGAGCGCCGCGCCCGGAGCCCCGUCUUCUCACUUCCGUCCCCAGGAUCCACCGGUUCUCCGUCUCACCCGUGAGUGUGUAAACCAGGGCUUUGUGUUAUACUGGGCGAGACGCGCGUGCGCGCCCCCUGCAGGUUCGCUUCCGGAAUCAGGGGCCACGUGACCGCUGGACACGUCAGGAAAGAGACAUCCGGGGCAUCCGAGUCGUCUGUAGUGGAGGACCGUCUGGCCCUAGACUGCUCUUGAUUUAGUGCCACCUCUCUUUUAUAAUUCAGCCGAGUGUUUUGAUCCAUGUCUGGUAUGUGUGCGCACAUAAAAAUAAAUUCUUCAAAGUAAUUAAACUAUUAAAAAAA